GAGCCAGACUCCUACGGGAGGCAGCGGUGGGGGAUAUUGCACAAUGGGGGGAACCCUGAUGCAGCGACGCCGCGUGGGUGAAGGAGUAUUUCGGUAUGUAAAGCCCUAUCGGCAGGGAAGAAGCAAGACGGUACCUGACUAAGAAGCCCCGGCUAACUACGUGCCAGCAGCCGCGGUAAUACGUAGGGGGCAAGCGUUAUCCGGAUUUACUGGGUGUAAAGGGAGCGUAGACGGCCAGACAAGUCUGAAGUGAAAAUCCAGCGCUUAACGUUGGAAGUGCUUUGGAAACUGCCGGGCUAGAGUGCAGGAGGGGCAGGCGGAAUUCCUAGUGUAGCGGUGAAAUGCGUAGAUAUUAGGAGGAACACCAGUGGCGAAGGCGGCCUGCUGGACUGCAACUGACGUUGAGGCUCGAAGGCGUGGGGAGCAAACAGGAUUAGAUACCCGGGUA
rnacentral:rRNA from 1 species